rnacentral:rRNA from 1 species
CAGUCGCCGCGGUAAUACGAAGGGUGCAAGCGUUAAUCGGAAUUACUGGGCGUAAAGCGUGCGUAGGCGGUGAGUUAAGUCUGCUGUGAAAUCCCCGGGCUCAACCUGGGAAUGGCAAUGGAUACUGGCAAGCUAGAGUGUGUCAGAGGAUGGUGGAAUUCCCGGUGUAGCGGUGAAAUGCGUAGAGAUCGGGAGGAACAUCAGUGGCGAAGGCGGCCAUCUGGGACAACACUGACGCUGAGGCACGAAAGCGUGGGGAGCAAACAGGAUUAGAUACCCCUGUAGUCCCUGUCUCUUAUAC